GUCUGGGUGGCUCAGCGGUUGAGCGCCUGUCUUUGGCUCAGGGUGUGAUCCUGGAGUCCCCAGAUG
rnacentral:tRNA from 1 species